AAUUUUUUCUCAUUUUUUUGAGUUUUUUUUUCCUAUUUAUAUGUUAUUUUAGAAAAUAUAAAAAUUAUUUCUUAAUUACAUACACUUAAUUAUUCAUUAAUUUUUCAGUUUAGAAGACUCAAAAGUCUAUGUCAUUAUGAUUUUAAUAAUCAUUUAUGCAAUGAGAUAUGCAUAAAAUGUAGAAAAUUUGCGACUCAAAUGGCGUGAUUUCUUCAACAACCAAUAUGUCAAUCCUUUCCUCUUGCUCCUUUUUCUUCCUCAAUUGAUAAAUGCCACACAAAAAUGACUCUUAUUAUCAUGAUUCCUGAAGCAUAAAGGAAUUGGGGUUGAAAUCAAUAAACAAAAAUUAUCAUUAUGUUCUAAAGAAGCAAGUGAAAAUCAUCACAAAAAAAAUUCCAGAGAUCCACUAAGGAUUCCAGCAAGUGCCAGAAAGUGAGCUAGCAUAUAUCUGAUAUAGCUAGAGGUCGAGGUCGCGGAAGCACAGGGCGUGGAGGCAAGUCUGUAGUUAGAAGUAAUAAUGAUAUUACUGCAAACGUACCUACUGUUCCCACUCCUACUAUUGUUACUUCUCAAGCUGAUGUCAUAGAUGGUCAAAAUAAUACAAAUCAAGUUCAACCAUUAAUUCCUCAAAUUAGAUCAACGGUUCAAACUUUUAGUGAUGGUAGCAACCAUAAAACUCCUGAAUCAUCUCCGACUGCUCUAAAUCAGAUCAACAGAACAAGAGAAGGUACAUCUACUCUAAGGAACCAAAUAGGUGAGCGUCUUAACCAAUCGAUUUCAUCCUUGAAAAUGGCUGAACAUAAUCAACUUCUGGUCUGCUUUCUAUCUACACAUAUAUAUAUAUAUUAUUUUAUUCUGGUUGAUGAUCUAUUGUUGGUUCUUCAUUUGAGAGUUCUUAUGGACAGAAUUACAAUGGGAGUAUUCUGUAGUAUUUUGGUGGUUCUAUUGGUAGUUCAUGGUCUGUUGGUGGUUCUUGUUGUGAGUAUUUUGGUAAUUCUGUUGGUGGUUUUUGUUCUGUUGUUGGUUCUUCAUUUGGGAGGAGUUCUUAUGGGAAGAAUUUCAAUGGAAGUAUUUUGUUGUAUUUUAGUGGUUUUGUUGGUGAUUCUUGAUCUGUUGGUGGUUUUUGUUGUGAGUAUUUUGGUGGUUCUUAUUAUGUUGGUGGUUCUUGAUCUGUUCUUGAUUUUUGUUGUGAGUAUUCCAAUGUUACAUGGGAUUCCAGAAUGACAGUGAGGUAUGUUCCUGUGAGGUAUUUUGUUGGAUAGGAUUUCAAAAUUAGAUUAUUAUAUGAUGUUGUGAAUUUUUGUGUAAAAUUUGCAUCUUCUUUCCACUUUAACAAGUAUAAUUUUUUUAAUAGAUAUGACUCGAGGAAGAGGUAUAGAAUGAGGAAGCAUAGGGCAUGCGGGCAAGUCAGCAGCUAGGACUAAUAUGCCUGUUCGUACUGCAAACAUGCCUACUAUUCCCACUUCUACAGUUGCACCACAAACAGCUGGUGGCGUAGGUGCUCCAACUUCUAAUCAUGGUAGUACAUCUCCUACUACUCCAAAUCAUACCAACCCAACAACUGUAUGUACGUCUUCACAAACCAACCAAGUAGGUGAGGACAUAUCUCGUAGCAACACAAAUGGAGAAAGUAAUUCCAUUCGAAGCCAUGUACGGACCCUUGUUACUAUAACUUCUACAGGAUUGCAACCUUCUAAAGCAUGCUCCAAUAGGAUACACGAGUCUUUCAAAAGUGAACUUGAUCACAAUGGAGUCAAUUGGAAAGAAACACUUCUAUUGGGAUUCUUCCAUUACUGAUGUUGCAGUAAAGAAAUACUGUCAGAGUAAGGCAGCAACUGUGUAUAGAAAUUUCAUUGCUAAAAUCAAAGAGAAAGGGAUUAGGCAAGAUUUUAUACAUGAAGAUGUCUGGGAAAGCUAGCAGCGACUUUGGGCAGAUCCAAAGUGUGUUGAAAAGCUCAAAAUAAAUGCACAGAAUCAUCGUGGAGGCAAAGAAGUCGCUGCUGGAACUCACACGGGAGGAUCUAUCUCAAUUGGAGAGUACCGAAAGAGACUUGUAAGUAUAUAUUUCAAGUAUUAAACUGUAAUUUGUUAUGAGACAGUCUAAACUUAGUUCAACAUUACGUUAUUGCUGCAUUUCUGUUUACUAUUUAUCUCAAAUGUUGAUCACUUCUCACUAUUUCUGUCUCCUGUGUUGAAUUUGGUAUGUUGUGUUCUAUUGUUGUCUUGUAACCUGAAAAAUUGCAAUGUAAACUGUGCUUAUAUGUCGCAGAGUGGUAUAUUACUGAGGAUUCGUAUGUUUACAUGUUCUUCGAGAUGUAUUGUGUAGAAUCAAGACCUUAUGAUUCUGGAAAUUACUUGUUUGUUUUAUGUGAUUGGUUUUUAUCUUAUAUAACCUUCACACUGGAAUCUGACUGGAAAUUUUCAAAUGUUCAUUAUUAGUAUAUGUUCUCAGUAAUUUUGAUGCAAUGAAAUUCAGCAAUCUCUUUCCAGUCAUUUCUUAGUAAGAACAAUGUAAAUUGGAUAACAUAGUUCUGACCACGUGACUAAUAAUAUUUACCUGAUGACCAACUAUGUUCCACUUGAAUUAUGGCUUUACAAACAUUUCUGUGUUACAUGAAUUAUUCCAGCAGUUUUGUUCUAGUACAAUGCUCAACACUUCUUUUUUAAAGGCUACUAAAAUGGGUCGAGAUCCGACACCAAGUGAGUUACAUUUGCAUGUUCACACACAUGGUCAUGAUGGAAAAUCUUUCGUUGAUGAACGUUCCCGAAUCGUCCAUGUAAGAUUAAAUCUUAAUGUAGUAGUUUACUUAAUUCACAUUUUUUAGUUUUAAGUACUUUUUGGUAUCUAAUCAUUUGUGAGUACAAUCCAUUAUAAUUUGACUUCCACUAUUACCGGAAAGAUUUGAAGAAAUAUUAUGAGAAAAAACAAUAUCAAAAUCUGUUAUUGAUCAAAUUGAAGCAUAUUACCAAGCUGCUGGAGGAGAAAAGAAGCGAAAAGUAUUUGGUAUUGGAACUGAAGUCAAAGGCUACUACGGCCAAACUCUUGAUGGAUGUAGGUAUUGAGGAUAUUUUGGACAUACUUAUGUGUUUAGAUGUUGCUAUGUUUGGUAUUGAGGAUGUUUAGACUUUUUCUAUCUAUAUAUAUGGGUUCUUUUAUAUGCACAUUGGAUAUUAUAAGAAGAUUUUGCUAUCUAUAUAUAUGUGACUUUUUUUAUAUGAACAUUGGGUAUUAUAAGAAUUUUACACUAUUCUAUUAAUAUUCAAAAGAAAAAUAAAAAGAUAUUGAAAGAAAAGUAAUGACGACAGAUUUAGCAACAAAAUUACUCAUUGCCAAACUAAAACAUUUGCAACGGAUUGAGGAAAAUAUUUUUUGUCACAAAAAUUGGAAAUUUUUAGAGAUGGACUAGCAAUGAAAUAUUUGGUCAGGAAAUAAUCAAAAUGACAAAAUACAACAUGAAAUUAGUAACGACACUUAUAAAUAUAACAACGAAUAUAUUCAUUGCUAAAAU